rnacentral:misc_RNA from 1 species
GAGAUAGGGUCCUUCGGGGCCCGACCUCCAACCCAAUGUUUAUAUACCUCUGUUGCCUCGGCGGGCCACCGGCAACCCUUACGGGGAGCCGCCGUCGGUCUUUUACUAGGCUUUCGAGCGCCUGCCGCAGGACUAUACAAACUCUUUUUUAAAGCAGUAUCUGAGUGAGAAAAUAAUAGCAUUAAAACUUUUAACAACGGAUCUCUUGGUUCU